GGAUCCUAUCAUAUGACAGUUCAAUUAGUUGUUGUCUGUACAAAAAGAACAACAACUAAUUGAACUGUCAUGUGAUAGGAUCCU